AUGGUGGUGCUCAUGGAGUACGCCCCCGGCGUCGGCGUGACCAUGAAGAGGAAGGGCGAGGAGGAGCCGGGACUGUUUGCGUUCCCCGACGACGGCGACUGCUGCAGCGUUCCGAUUUCCUGCCGCGCGACCAAGAUGAGGCGGCUGGAGAUUGCCGGCACCGGCCAUGAUUUGCCGCCGGCGGCGACCGUUGGGACGGAGGGCGACGUUAUGAUGGCGGAGGAGCCGCCGGCGCCGUCGCUCGGGGCCGCGGAAGAGGAAAAGAGGGCUCUGGUGGUGUACGGCCCGGCCGUCGACGCCGCGCGCGCUGGUGGCCGGCUCGGCCUUCUCGGCCAAUGGCGGCUCCGCCCGUGGGCGCCCCUGAGCGCCGGCGCCGAGUGGAUCCGUGACAUGCUGCGCGAGGCGGACGGCCGCACGGUGCGGGCGGUGCUGUCCAGCGCUCAGGAAGAGGGCGGCGCCGACCUGGCCCUGGUCCCUUGGGGCGCCGCACACGUGCCGGCAGAGGCGAAUCAGCCGUCCACGGCCGCGGAGACGGUGGACGGGGAAGAGGACGCCGAGGGAACGGCAGCGAUGGACGUCGAAGAGGAGAGGGAACAUCAUCAGGCCCAGGCGGUCGCGGCCGGCUGCGGUGAGGGGUACCUGUGCCGGUGGCCGCAGCACUGCUUGGCGCCGCCUCCGUUGCCGGCGGUUCGCCAGGCGACCCCGGCUGUGUGGUCGUGGUGA
rnacentral:rRNA from 1 species